CUCAUUAGCUCAGUGCUAGGAGUAACUGAGAAAUACUGAGUGGAUGCACUGUAUGUGGAAUUAGAAAGGUGUCCCAUUCUUUCAUGCUAACCAAUAUGAUACAAUAUUUCCAACUUCCAUUCCCAACUUUCUAUAUUUUGAAGUGUACAGAAUUAGGUUAUGCUUUGAAAAAAGCCACCACUGUUGGUCUUGAUCUGAAUUUGAACACACUUGGUUUAUAAUUGUCACGAUACCUGUUCCUCGUGGCACCAUGUGAUAAUAGAAAUUAUGUCUCUUCUGUGCUCUGAUACACACCCA